rnacentral:lncRNA from 1 species
AGGCAAGAAGAAGAAAAAGAAAGCUGAAGCCAAGCCAGCAUAUGAUGAGGAUGAGAACCCAUACCAGAAUGUGGAGAACAAGAACGACCCUGGGGAGAACCCCUACGCCAAUGUGGAGAGUGGAGGACAGGUGGUGGAGGAAAAGGUGGAGGAUCCCAAAGAUAGCACUAAGAAUAUCGGCCCAGAUGGGACAGUCUAUGCAGACCUAGCUUUUAACACCAAGCCAAAGGGAAAGAAUCAGAAAGAUGAAAUCAUCCGCACAGAGGAAGCCACGGAAUAUGCCACCAUUGACUUUAAAAGAAAAGCACCACCCACUUGAUUGCAAUCCACAUCUUGAUUACACUCCUCCUCUCUAUGCAGGAACAUGGCUGCCUCUUUCUACUUAUUGCUACUAAAUGUUUAUAAGGGCAGUCCAUGUUGUAAAAUAGAGAAGGGAUUUUUGUUGACUCUCUUUCUACUAACAGUGCCAUAAUUGUUGAAUACAAUCUUUUUUGCAAGAGUGCAGUAAAUGACAGCAUGUCUUAUUUUUAUACAGUAGUAUGUUGCUGUUAUGUGAUUUUUAAUUGAUGAGACAUCAAAUCACAACAUUCCAUUUUGAUUCAGCAUUCAGUAAAUGUAUGAAAUUUUGAAUCCUUAUAAUUAAGUCCCAUACAGUUAAUGUACAUUUAUGCAAUGUUAAGGUCACAAAUUAUUGCAGAAUUUUGAGUGUUGGUGUUGUCUUCCCAUUCCAGUGGAGUGCCACCUAUAGUUGUGUCUGAAGACUAACCGGCAUAUUUCCUUUGAUUUUCAGUGUAGUUUAUGCUUUGUGAUAUUACCAAAGACUUAGUGUAGGAAGUAAAUAGCAAACAGAUCUUUGAAUCUAACUAUUCUAUAAGAGUGUAUGUGAAGGAUGGUUCCUGGAUAGAUUUGAUUUCCUGGUAAUUGAUGUGAUAUAUUGGUAAUGGUCCCUGUAGGGAGAAAAAAGUGACAAUCUUUAAAAAGAAGGCAAUAAUAGUGUAAAUAUUUAACCAUAUUAUGUUGCAUUAUACAUUUUACUGUUAUUUGAAGCUGGAGAAAAUUACAGACAUGGUUUGUUUGAAAAAUCUAUUAGUAUACCAUUGUUAUAACCACCUACAAUUGCAUCGUAAGAAUGGCUUUUUACUACUGAAUAAUAUUAAUGCUGUAUCCUACACUUUAUUUGUGAAUAGAAUUUAUCUUUAAAUAGUUAAUGUGUUGAACAGGGCAGCUAGUCCUAUGUUUGGUAGGUUUUUUCACCCUUUGAACAUCAAAUGGUGCAUUUUACUGGCCCAGCCUGUACUGGUUCACUUGACAAUUAACUGUUAUGUGACAGUAAGCGCAUUCAGAACAAGAUGAUCCGUGGACUAGCUAACAGAUCCCCGUCUCAAAUAUGGUUGACCCCACUUUAAAACAAUACAAGGGGCCUUGCAAUUAAACCUUGGAGCGAAGAUUUAAUCUGUUUAAUGCCACAUGUGGAGGUGGGGAGACCACCAAGGAAUUAGUCUGUGUUGCUUUCAAGUGGUUCGGACAUAUUUAGUCCGUGGAUCGUCUUGUUCUGAAUGUCCUCAGUGUCUCCUAAACAGAGCUCUUGUGCUCAACACAGCCAAUAAUUUGACUAAACUCAGCUGUACAGCAGUAAGUUAACUUGUGGAGAACUUGUAAAAUACAUCCUCCAGUAUUGUAAUUACAUGUCAGUUACUCGUCAAGGUGUACCGAACCAUGAAUCGGUUAAGUAAUACCACACCACUGGAUGUUAUAUGGGUCUUAGGGUAAAUCCUGUGUACAUUGCUUGAAACUAUGCAAAGUUUGUGUUGAAAUGUUUCCUGAGUCAGCAGUUGUCUUCCAGAGCUUGAUAUGAAAGUUUUUGCUCUUAUAUUAAUAGAAACAUGCUUAUUUUAUAAGAUGCUGAGUUUGUGAAGUUUUGUCAUAAAAUCUGCCUGCAUGGUGGCCUGUUCCUGAUCAUUAGACAUUGUUAUUUAUUUAUUUAUUUAUUUAUUUAUUUAUUUAUUUAUAUGACUAAUUACUUAUUUACUAGACAAUGUUAAACAAACAUUUUAAAUGCCUUACACUUAAUGUUUCCAAAGCC